CUCCCAUAAUUCUAGCCCAAGCCUCACCCCUCAAGGCCUCUUACCCAGCCCCAGUACAACUCCUAUUGUAUGAAGUUUUUGAUCCAGACUAGAAGAAGUACCUGCAUGCCGCCCUGAUGCCAGGCCAAGAUGUUGGGAUGGAUUUGGCAGGAACGCCUCCAACAGCGGCAAGCAGCAGCAUUUGCCAGCAAUAAAACAACGCAUGAAUAAAAGAAGGCCGGCUUGGCAGCAGCAGCAGCCCAGGGUCCAGAGUACAGCCUCAAAGGACUUGAGGCUACUGGCUCCUGUGUUCCUCUGAUCCCAUCACCUGGCUGAGGCUCAUCCACAUUACCCCGGAUGUUUCAAGGAACAAGCAGAUUGUCUUGCUCUCACCAUCUACCCCUCCCACUUGGUCAAACGAUCUUCUUCCCUGAAGUCCAGGGGAAGAGGACAGAAGCAAACAAAGGAGUGGCAACAGAUGGUCUCUGCAGUCUCAGCUAAGGGAGAAAAGAGGGGUUUUCUGCAGAGCACUCUUUUCCGAUGGAACUCCUCUCCUCCAGCUCACGAGUGAUUUCAGGCACAAAUGGAGAGAAGUUAUUGGGACUUUGAACUCUCUCCAUUCCUGGAGAAGCUAGAGAGCAUACAGGCAGGUCCAGGUGCUAGUAAGGCAGGGAGCCCAUAUUCUGGAACUUGGUUUAUUCCAGUCCUGAUGUUUUUGUCUUUUCCCCCAAGAAGAAUGAGGUGGCCUGACCUCUCAGGCACCCUGUUCUCUGGUCCACACAUUAGGGGUACAUCCACUCUGGGGUGAGGAUAUGGCUAAGAACUGAGCUUAGGCCAGAGUGAUGUCCUUUUGUGAUUUAUUCAUUCAUUCAACAAAUAUUUACCA